UUAUUCGAUGACUGAAAAGUAAGUCUAGAUCUUUUAAAUCUAUCAUAGUAAAUUAACGUAUACUUCGAAUAAA
rnacentral:tRNA from 1 species